AUCAACUUUCGAUGGUAGGAUAGAGGCCUACCAUGGUGGUAACGGGUAACGGGGUGUUAGGGCACGACACCGGAGAGGGAGCCUGAGAAACGGCUACCACAUCCAAGGAUGGCAGCAGGCGCGCAAAUUACCCAAUCCCGACACGGGGAGGUAGUGACAAUAAAUAACAAUACGGGGUUCUUUCGGAUCUCGUAAUUGGAAUGAGUACAAUUUAAAUCUCUUAACGAGGAACAAUUGGAGGGCAAGUCUGGUGCCAGCAGCCGCGGUAAUUCCAGCUCCAAUAGCGUAUAUUAAAGUUGUUGCAGUUAAAAAGCUCGUAGUUGAAUUUCGGGAUCAAAUUGUUGGUCGUGCUUCGGUACGCACUGGCAUUAUUGGUUCCUACCUUCUGAAGAACCGCGAUGUCAUUAAUUUGGUGUCGUGGGGAAUCAGGACUGUUACUUUGAAAAAAUUAGAGUGUUUAAAGCAGGCGCACGCUUGAAUACAUUAGCAUGGAAUAAUGAAAUAGGACGUUUGAUUCUAUUUUGUUGGUUUCUAGGAUCGACGUAAUGAUUAAUAGGGAUAGUUGGGGGCAUUAGUAUUCAAUUGUCAGAGGUGAAAUUCUUGGAUUUAUUGAAGACUAACUACUGCGAAAGCAUUUGCCAAGGAUGUUUUCAUUAAUCAAGAACGAAAGUUAGGGGAUCGAAGACGAUCAGAUACCGUCGUAGUCUUAACCAUAAACUAUGCCGACUAGGGAUCGGAUGAUGUUAAUUUUUUAAUGACUCAUUCGGCGCCUUACGGGAAACCAAAGUGUUUGGGUUC
rnacentral:rRNA from 1 species